GAACGCACAUUGCGCCCCUUGGUAUUCCGAGGGGCAUGCCUGUUCGAGCGUCAUUACACCACUCAAGCACCGCUUGGUAUUGGGCAUCGUCCGCCGUAAAGGCGGGCGUGCCUCGAAGACCUCGGCGGGGUUUCUCCAACUUCGGGCGUAGUAGAGUUAAAUCAAAACGUCUUAUAAGCUUGGUGAGAUCUCAUUGCCGUUAAACCUUUUAUAUUUUUCAGGUUGACCUCGGAUCAGGUAGGGAUACCCGCUGAACUUA
rnacentral:misc_RNA from 1 species